GACGAACGCUGGCGGCGUGCCUAAUACAUGCAAGUAGAACGCUGAAGGAGGAGCUUGCUCUUCUGGAUGAGUUGCGAACGGGUGAGUAACGCGUAGGUAACCUGCCUGGUAGCGGGGGAUAACUAUUGGAAACGAUAGCUAAUACCGCAUAACAGUAGAUGUUGCAUGACAUUUACUUAAAAGGUGCAAUUGCAUCACUACCAGAUGGACCUGCGUUGUAUUAGCUAGUUGGUGGGGUAACGGCUCACCAAGGCGACGAUACAUAGCCGACCUGAGAGGGUGAUCGGCCACACUGGGACUGAGACACGGCCCAGACGCCUACGGGAGGCAGCAGUAGGGAAUCUUCGGCAAUGGACGGAAGUCUGACCGAGCAACGCCGCGUGAGUGAAGAAGGGUUUCGGAUCGUAAAGCUCUGUUGUAAGAGAAGAACGAGUGUGAGAGUGGAAAGUUCACACUGUGACGGUAGCUGACCAGAAAGGGACGGCUAACUACGUG
rnacentral:rRNA from 1 species